rfam:Hordeum vulgare subsp. vulgare, WGS project CAJW01000000 data, contig: morex_contig_208253
CCCAUCCCCGAUGAUGAGCUCAUCUCCUACAUCCUCCACGGCCUUGACAUGGAGUAUCAACCCCUUGUCUCCGCUCUUGACGCUCGCGUCACCCUGGUUUCCCUCGACGAACUAUUUUCCAUGCUCAGUAACUUUGAUC